ACCGAGAAGUCAUCAGACAUGUGAUGGUGAUUGGUGACAGUGCGGUGUGAAGUUAAAGCAAAUCGUAGCAAAUCCACGGGACCUUCCGCUGUUCAUCACCCACCACCGGCAGGCACAGAUAUCUUCGAUAAAUACAUGGGAACCUCGCGGGAACUCAAAAACAAGUGACAACUCGAUUAUGUCUCGAGGAUUCGCUGAUUCGCUGCAGAUUCGGAUUCCUGGGGUCCAAUUACAUGGAAAUACCUUAGAACCCCCAAUUUAAACGAAUGUCGAUGUUUGACCUCAAAGUCUGAAAUUUUCCGCUCCGAAAAGCAAAUCUGUUCAUCUGCAAGCAAUUAAAGACAGACUUUUACUGAGUUCCAUUGAAUAUAUUGAAGCAGGAUAAAGGAAUUAUGCCAUUGAUAGGAACUUAGCGUUUAUUUCCCACUAUAAAAAAUCUUCAAAACUCUUCGAUCAUAUGUGAUAAUAAAAAUUUUCUUUAUUUACAAAUGCGACAAGUGUACAGGAAUUAAGGUCUAGUGAUUUUUUGGAACGGAGCGUUAAGUUACGAAUUACCAUCACUUUUCAUAUCAAAGAUUUCUCGAGAGGUGUAAUUAAAUGAUUGUACACAUCAAAUAUAACCAACUAUUUAAUCACGAGAGAGAAAGAGACAAAUAUGUACCAACAAAUA